rnacentral:rRNA from 1 species
UAUUGGGCGUAAGCGCGCGCAGGCGGUUCUCUUAAGUCUGAUGUGAAAUCUCCCUUUCAACCGCGAGACGGCCAUUGGAACUGGGGAACUUGAGUGCAGGAGAGGGGAGCGGAAUUCCACGUGUAGCGGUGAAAUGCGUAGAGAUGUGGAGGAACACCAGUGGCGAAGGCGGCUCUCUGGUCUGUAACUGACGCUGAGGCGCGAAAGCGUGGGAGCGAACA